GCUUACACAUGCAGUCGAACGGAAAGGCCCUGCUUUUGUGGGGUGCUCGAGUGGCGAACGGGUGAGUAACACGUGAGUAACCUGCCCUUGACUUUGGGAUAACUUCAGGAAACUGGGGCUAAUACCGGAUAGGAGCUCCUGCUGCAUGGUGGGGGUUGGAAAGUUUCGGCGGUUGGGGAUGGACUCGCGGCUUAUCAGCUUGUUGGUGGGGUAGUGGCUUACCAAGGCUUUGACGGGUAGCCGGCCUGAGAGGGUGACCGGCCACAUUGGGACUGAGAUACGGCCCAGACUCCUACGGGAGGCAGCAGUGGGGAAUAUUGCACAAUGGGCGGAAGCCUGAUGCAGCAACGCCGCGUGCGGGAUGACGGCCUUCGGGUUGUAAACCGCUUUCGCCUGUGACGAAGCGUGAGUGACGGUAAUGGGUAAAGAAGCACCGGCUAACUACGUGCCAGCAGCCGCGGUGAUACGUAGGGUGCGAGCGUUGUCCGGAUUUAUUGGGCGUAAAGGGCUCGUAGGUGGUUGAUCGCGUCGGAAGUGUAAUCUUGGGGCUUAACCCUGAGCGUGCUUUCGAUACGGGUUGACUUGAGGAAGGUAGGGGAGAAUGGAAUUCCUGGUGGAGCGGUGGAAUGCGCAGAUAUCAGGAGGAACACCAGUGGCGAAGGCGGUUCUCUGGGCCUUUCCUGACGCUGAGGAGCGAAAGCGUGGGGAGCGAACAGGCUUAGAUACCCUGGUAGUCCACGCUGUAAACGGUGGGUACUAGGUGUGGGGUCCAUUCCACGGGUUCCGUGCCGUAGCUAACGCUUUAAGUACCCCGCCUGGGGAGUACGGCCGCAAGGCUAAAACUCAAAGGAAUUGACGGCGGCCCCGCACAAGCGGCGGAGCAUGCGGAUUAAUUCCGAUGCAACGCGUAAAACCUUACCUGGGUUUGACAUGGAUCGGGAGUGCUCAAAGAUGGG
rnacentral:rRNA from 1 species